rnacentral:rRNA from 1 species
UACGAAGGGGGCUAGCGUUGCUCGGAAUUACUGGGCGUAAAGCGCACGUAGGCGGCUUCUUAAGUCGGUGGUGAAAUCCUGGAGCUCAACUCCAGAACUGCCUUCGAUACUGGGAGCUCGAGUCCGGGAGAGGUGAGUGGAACUGCGAGUGUAGAGGUGAAAUUCGUAGAUAUUCGCAAGAACACCAGUGGCGAAGGCGGCUCGACUG